rnacentral:rRNA from 1 species
AUUGAACGCUGGCGGCAGGCCUAACACAUGCAAGUCGAACGAGUGGCGGCCGGGUGAGUAAUGUCUGGGAAACUGCCUGAUGGAGGGGGAUAACUACUGGAAACGGUAGCUAAUACCGCAUACCAUCGGAUGUGCCCAGAUGGGAUUCGCUAGUAGGUGGGGUAACGGCUCACCUCGGCGACGAUCCCUAUCUGGUCUGAGAGGAUCACCAGCCACACUGGAACUGAAGAAAGGUCCAGACUCCUACGGGAGGCGUCAGUGGGGAGUAUUGGACAAUGGGCGAAAGCCUGUGCGAGCCAUGCCGGGUGUGUUAAGAGGGUCUUCGGUGGGUAAAGCACUUUAAGGUGGGAGGCGUUACCAACAGAAUAAGCACCGGCUAACUUCGUGCCGGCGGCCGCGGUAAUAC